rnacentral:rRNA from 1 species
AUUGGACGCUGGCGGCAGGCCUAACACAUGCAAGUCGAACGAGUGGCGGACGGGUGAGUAAUGUCUGGGCAACUGCCUGAUGGAGGGGGAUAACUACUGGAAACGGUAGCUAAUACCGCAUACCAUCGGAUGUGCCCAGGUGGGCUUAGCUAGUAGGUGGGUGAAAGGCUCACCUAGGCGACGCUCCCUAGCUGGUCUGAGAGGCGGACCGGCCACACUGGAACUGAGACACGGUCCAGACUCCUACGGGAGGCAGCAGUGGGGAAUAUUGCACAAUGGGCGCAAGCCUGAUGCAGCAAUGCCGCGUGUAUGAAGAAGGCCUUCGGGGUGUAAAGUACUUUCAGCGGGGAGGCGUUACCCGCAGAAGAAGCACCGGCUAACUCCGUGCCAGCAGCCGCGGUAAUAC